UACGUAGGGUGCGAGCGUUGUCCGGAUUUAUUGGGCGUAAAGAGCUCGUAGGCGGUUUGUCGCGUCGGCCGUGAAAUCUCCACGCUUAACGUGGAGCGUGCGGUCGAUACGGGCAGACUUGAGUUCGGUAGGGGGAGACUGGAAUUCCUGGUGUAGCGGUGAAAUGCGCAGAUAUCAGGAAGAACACCCAAUGGCGAAAGGGCAGCUCUCUGGGGA
rnacentral:rRNA from 1 species